AUAAUGCUUGACUCACUUUUUCCUAAAUCGUUGCUUAUGAGUUUGUGGUAUAAGUACGUUCUUGGAUUAGUUGUUAGAGAACAGCAUAAACAUCGUUUCUCUUUCUCUAAUUUCAUGUGAAAUUUCUAAGGACUUUUGUAACUUCUAUGUUCUAUUAUAUAUAACCUAAGCAACAUUAUUUUAAUAAUUUGUUUUAUUACUCGUUCAUUUAGCAAAGCUAAAAGGACAAGAGAUGAGGGUGAAGUGAACUACCCAUGAUUAUGUUCUAGCCAACUUCCAAUAUUCCAGUCGUGACUUGUGCACCAGAAUGCUCCACCAACACCAGUGUCUCUAUUUCAAUCUCUCGUGCAAGCACUCCUAUUUGCAGAGUUCUCUCCUCGGUGCUGCGAGUCGAUCCCUUAGGAACAAACUGUAAGCCUCCAGGCCAAUAAACAGUACUCAAAACUUUAGUAGAAGUAGUAUCUGUGUUCACCUCUGUUAGCUGCUGUGUAAUAAGGUUCUUGGAGAAACCUAGUUUUGGAGACCAUAAUGCCAAGUCUCUAUAACUUUUACCUAUCACAUUAAUUAUAUUGAAGGUUGGUGAUUGCUGUAAUUUGUCAUUCCUGGAGAGGUAAUUUUUGAACAAUUGUUCAGGAGUAAACUUCCCUUGUGAUUCCUUUGCAGCCUGUGCAAUCGCCCAGGUUGCAUCGUACAAUUGAAGUGCGAAGAAACUUGGAUUAAUUUUCUCUUCCUCGGGGAACUCCGAGGCAAAGUUUCUUUGAAAUUUGAAUUUGAACUGUCUAAAUGUCUCACUCACUUCCAUGAAGUUUGUCUUAAACCCAAUUACUCCCUGCAUGUUAGAGAUAGCAGAUGGGUUAACUGAAUCAAGAAGGCCAACAACCCCAUCUGAUAUAACCCACACAGAACCUUUUUCCAUCAAACCUAUUUGCUUUGCUUUCUCAAAAAGUAUGUUAGCCAGCUCUAAAGAAGAAUGCACAAUCAAGAAGACCCUGUUACUUUUGCUUUUGAGCUUUUUAAGCUCAUUUUCAAUGUUUGAUUUUGGGUCUGAUAGAGAGGACAAGGAAGGCAAAGCUAAAUGAUUGUCAAUCUCAGAACCAACUUGUCUAAGAGCAUAGGUGAGGUCAAGUAGCAUCCCUGGAUCAGAGGAAAGCCAAUUAUUAAGUUCAUAGAUUACUGUCACCUUUUUCCAUCUGAAUUCUCCUACUAUGGCUGCAACGCAUUGCAUGUGAAUCCUGACAUCAUCGCCAAUUUGGAUGAAGUGUGGCAAUUGAGGAGAUAAUAACUUUGUCCUUGCUGUUGGAGAAGUUAGAGACAAUGUAGGAACCUUGUUUAUGGUGUAAUUUAACUCACUUGCCAGAGUUGCUUCA